rnacentral:rRNA from 1 species
AACAACUCUCAGCAACGGAUAUCUUGGCUCUUGCAACGAUGAAGAACGCAGCAA